CUUCGGUACAUCGGUGACAGGUGGUGCAUGGUUGUCGUCAGCUCGUGUCGUGAGAUGUUGGGUUAAGUCCCGCAACGAGCGCAACCCCUAUUGUUAGUUGCCAUCAUUCAGUUGGGCACUCUAGCGAGACCGCCGGUAAUAAACCGGAGGAAGGUGGGGAUGACGUCAAAUCAUCAUGCCCCUUAUGACCUGGGCUACACACGUGCUACAAUGGUUGGUACAACGAGCUGCGAGUCGGUGACGGCGAGCUAAUCUCUUAAAGCCAACCUCAGUUCGGAUUGUAGGCUGCAACUCGCCUACAUGAAGUCGGAAUCGCUAGUAAUCGCGGAUCAGCACGCCGCGGUGAAUACGUUCCCGGGCCUU
rnacentral:rRNA from 1 species